UAUAUAAUAAAGUUGAGUUGUCUCUCUCCUUAGGCUAUCCACAUCAUCAACUACAUAGGGGCAAUUCAAGACACGUGUCAUACUAUAAUUCUCAGAUUUCGCUUCCUGUUAGCGUCUUGCAAAGUGGGUUUUCAUGUUUGCAGAGGCCCAAUAGGUAAUUUAGGUAUUGUGAUAGAUUCAGAAUAGGUCCAAAUGCCCCGUAACGCAACUCCUUCUACGUUCCAAUCCGACGAUUCAAAGUUCCCAGCCACCGCAACCUGUUCGUAACCGUCGACGUUAAACUUUGCAAUCACUACAAGCUUUCAACGACUUCUUAAUCAUUCUGCAUAUAAUAUAUAUAUGGACUAGAAGGCAUGAAUCCACGUAUCUCAUCGUUUCUCAGUUUUCUCCUCUCCAAAACUCUCUCUAAGGGCGAGUUUGACUAUGGCGAUUCUUUAACUGAUUCUGUCUGAUUUGAAGGCUGGUCUUGUCAGCAGGCUCCUUUGUUGUUGGGAAGGAAUAAGGUCGAGAGCUUAUUGGAAUUGGAAAGAAUCCAGUGGUCAAGUUUGUAGGAGUGGUAAACGCGAAAGAAAAAGUUAUAGCAGAAACGAUGCAUCAACUCUCCCUGGAGAUCAAUGGGGUUAAUAAGAAGAAAUUUUAUAAAGCAAAAAUGUGGGUGAGCCAAUGUUGAACUUCAAGGAGUUGCAGGAGUUCAAGCCUGUCGGUAAUGAUGCCCCUACCACUACUACAAACUUGACUGAAAAUAAGGACAGAUGAGCAUGAAUCUAGAUGGAGAACUUCCAUGAGAUGAUCCACUACAUUACUUUGCUGUUCAUGCUGUCAAGAGCAUCCAAAACAGAUCUAACUCUUUGCUACUUUAUGAACUUCAAUAGGGUGUGCAUGCAACCCUGAGACCGAUUUGAGGUUUAUGGAGCUUCGUAGAUGACAUCAGGACUGUCGUGUAUACAUGCUUUGGAGAUGUGUGCUUUUUGAGCUGUGAAACAUGACUACUAUAUAGUGGAGUUAUACGGGCAUGAGAUAUCUUUCAAAUGGAAAACCUCAGAAAAUGGAAACGUACAUCAACACAUAUUUCAAUCCGCUAUCCUAAUGGAGUUUAUAGAAGGAUGAUCUUCUUCUUUUUUUUGAUCAAUAGAAUGAGGAUCUCUAAAGGUAUCUUCUUUCUUUGAAAUUUUAAGUCUAUAUAUAUAAGCCCCUCCAACUUUAUCGUAGCAAAAAGUGAUGAAUAUGAUUAGGAAAAUAUGAUUAGGUGAGAUCAACACGGGAACCAUGUGUUUGAUUUGAUCAAAAGGUAAACAGUGUGUUACAUCAGGUAAAGAAUAAGAUUACUGGGUUCGGUGGAGAUAGUUGGAAUUAUCCAAAUUUGUAACUUUCGGUGACGAACAGACAAGUGGUGACUAAGCUAAUGGUUUGUGUUUCCUUUACGUACUUGGAACAUCCAAUAUAACCUGUUGUUUCCAUCAUAUAGAUUAGUUAGCUAGCAAAGGACUCUAAACUGAUGCGUUUUGGAAUAUAUGAUGUUUUUGGUCGACAUA